GCAACACAUCGACACUCAAAAAUGCAUUUAAAAAAUUAAAACAAUCGUUUUUUUUUAAUAUAUUCAGAUUGUUGUUGUAUAAAAAGUGUUUGGAGAUUUCACAAAAGUAGCGUCAUGUCCGAACCAUCGCCUUGUCCAUGUGACAGGGGAGAAUACUGUAAAGAAAAGCGGUGUUUUCAAUGUCAGCCGGGAACGUACCAAGAUGAACCGAUUUCUAGACUCCCGUUUUGUAAGAAAUGGACUGUGAUGAGUGAAAGAGACCAUUGGCAACUUAUCAAACACGGCACCGCUACAGCUGAUCAUGAGUGGGCUUGUCAGGAUGGUUUUGUGAAAAAACAGUUUUCUGCCGGAAAAUUUUCCUGUGAGCCGAUGACGACACCAAACACCACUCCAAGCUGGGGUGUCAGUUCUAGAAACUCUACUAUAACAGGCAGCGAU